CCUACGGGAGGCAGCAGUGGGGAAUCUUGCACAAUGGAGGAAACUCUGAUGCAGCGACGCCGCGUGGACGACGAAGCACUUCGGUGUGUAAAGUCCUUUCGACCGGAACGAUAAUGACGGUACCGGUGGAAGAAGCUGCGGCUAACUACGUGCCAGCAGCCGCGGUAAUACGUAGGCAGCAAGCGUUGUUCGGAAUUAUUGGGCGUAAAGAGUUCGUAGGCGGUGUGCCAAGUUUGGUGUGAAAUCUCCCGGCUCAACUGGGAGGCUGCAUCGAAUACUGGCAUGCUCGAGUAUAGGAGAGGUAAGCGGAAUUCCUGGUGUAGCGGUGAAAUGCGUAGAUAUCAGGAGGAACACCUGUGGUGUAGACGGCUUACUGGACUAUAACUGACGCUGAGGAACGAAAGCGUGGGUAGCAAACAGGAUUAGAUACCCUGGUAGUCCACGCCCUAAACGAUGCAUACUUGGUGUGAGCACUCUACUUGUUCGUUGUCGUACGUCUACGUACGUUAAGUUAUGCCGCCGUCGGGUAGGUACGGUCGGCGAGGCGUGAACGUACGAAAGAAAGUUAGUACGGCGUGAGACGUGCCGACGGACGACCGACCGACGGGGAAGGUUAGG
rnacentral:rRNA from 1 species